rnacentral:rRNA from 1 species
CCUACGGGCUGCACCAGUGGGGAAUAUUGCACAAUGGGCGAAAGCCUGAUGCAGCGACGCCGCGUGAGGGAUGACGGCCUUCGGGUUGUAAACCUCUUUCAGCAGGGAAGAAGCGAAAGUGACGGUACCUGCAGAAGAAGCACCGGCUAACUACGUGCCAGCAGCUGCGGUAAUACGUAGGGUGCGAGCGUUGUCCGGAAUUAUUGGGCGUAAAGAGCUUGUAGGCGGUUUGUCGCGUCUGCCGUGAAAUUUCGAGGCUCAACCUCGAACUUGCGGUGGGUACGGGCAGACUAGAGUGUGGUAGGGGAGACUGGAAUUCCUGGUGUAGCGGUGAAAUGCGCAGAUAUCAGGAGGAACACCGAUGGCGAAGGCAGGUCUCUGGGCCACUACUGACGCUGAGAAGCGAAAGCAUGGGGAGCGAACAGGAUUAGAUACCCCGGUAGUC